rnacentral:rRNA from 1 species
GGAGUGAAGCUGGCACCAGCUCCAAAUUUGAAAUCUGCCUCUUGAAGAGUCUGAAUUGUAAUUUGUAGAGCGGGUGUCGGAUGCGGGGAUGACUCAAUUUCCUUGGAACUUGACAUCAUAGAGGGUGACAAUCCCGUCGCGGUCAAUCACCAAAUCCAUGUGAAACCCUGCUGAGUGAGUCGAGUUGUUUGGGAAUGCAGCUCAGAAUGGGUGGUAAAUUUCAUCUAAAGCUAAAUAUCAGCCAGAGACCGAUAGCGCACAAGUAGAGUGAUCGAAAGAUGAAAAGCACUUUGAAAAGAGAGUAAAAAAGCACGUGAAUCUAUUUGGAGGGAAGCGCUUGUGACCAGACUUGCACGCAGUGUUCAGCCUCCUGAAAAGGUGGUGUAUUCUCUGCGCUGCGGGCCAACAUCAGUUCCGAUGGCCGGAAAAAGGUUCGGAGAACGUAGCUUUCCUUCGGGGAAGUGUUAUAGCUCCGGGCGUAAUGCGGCCUGUUGGGACUGAGGACUUUGCGCUUAUGCUAGGAUGUUGGCAUAAUGGUCAUCAGCGACCCGUCUUGAAACACGGACCAAGGAGUCGUUCAACUACGCGAGCGUUAGGGUGUUAAACCCUCACGCGGAAUGAAAGUGAACGUAGGUGGGAGCUUUUUGCGCACCAUCGACCGAUCCGAGUUCGCGAGGAUUUGAGUAUGAGUGUAGUUGAACGGACCCGAAAGAAGGUGAACUAUUGCUGACUAGGCCGAAGCCAGAGGAAACUCUGGUGGAGGGUCGCAGCGGUUCUGACGUGCAAAUCGAUCGUCAAAGCUGGCAAUAGGGGCGAAAGACUAAUCGAACCUUCUAGUAGCUGGUUCCUGUCGAAGUUUCCCUCAGGAUAGCAGCAACGAAAAACAGUCUCAUGAGGAAGAGCAACGAUUAGAGCCCUGGGGGUUGAACCACCCUUAACCUAUUCCCGACCUCAGAAUAUAGAGAAGUCCUUGUUACUUAAUUGAACGGGCCAUUGGAUUACGUAUUUUGCCC